rnacentral:rRNA from 1 species
UACGUAGGGGGCAAGCGUUGUCCGGAAUCAUUGGGCGUAAAGAGCGUGUAGGCGGCUCGGUAAGUCCGCUCUGAAAGCCCGGGGCUCAACCCCGGGAGGCGGGCGGAUACUGUCGGGCUAGAGUCCGGAAGAGGCGAGUGGAAUUCCUGGUGUAGCGGUGAAAUGCGCAGAUAUCGGGAAGAACACCUAUGGCGAAGGCAGCUCUCUGGGACGGUACUGACGCUGAGACGCGAAAGCGUGGGGAGCGAACAGG